rnacentral:rRNA from 1 species
ACUCCUACGGGAGGCAGCAGUGGGGAAUAUUGGACAAUGGGCGAAAGCCUGAUCCAGCCAUGCCGCGUGAGUGAUGAAGGCCCUAGGGUUGUAAAGCUCUUUCACCGGUGAAGAUAAUGACGGUAACCGGAGAAGAAGCCCCGGCUAACUUCGUGCCAGCAGCCGCGGUAAUACGAAGGGGGCUAGCGUUGUUCGGAAUUACUGGGCGUAAAGCGCACGUAGGCGGAUUGUUAAGUGAGGGGUGAAAUCCCAGGGCUCAACCCUGGAACUGCCUUUCAUACUGGCAAUCUCGAGUCCGAGAGAGGUGAGUGGAAUUCCGAGUGUAGAGGUGAAAUUCGUAGAUAUUCGGAGGAACACCAGUGGCGAAGGCGGCUCACUGGCUCGGUACUGACGCUGAGGUGCGAAAGCGUGGGGGGCAAACA